UGGGGACAGAGUUUGCAAAUUGAGAUUUUUAUUUGGGGUAAAGUGGCUGAAAUAAAGACUCCUCUCUGGAGGAGAUGACCGAGAAUCCCAGAACGGCUCACAAGAAGUCGCCACUUCAAAAGAACACUGGAAACCAUGUUUCUUGUCUUUGGAAAUGAGCUCCACAAGACGUUAUUUUGUAAGAGGAUUUUGUAAACCUUCCUUCAAGCACCAGUACUUCUGGUGUGGAUGUGUGGGUGUGCUGUGUGUGAGAUCUGUGUGAG